UGAAAUUUUCUGGUGUUUUCAGUAGUUGCAUUUUGUCAAAGACUUUCCCCACAUCCAUUGAGAUAAUCACAUGGUUUUUUAUUAGUUUGGUUUUUGAUAUAGUCAAUUAUGUGAAUGGUUUUCCUAAUAUUAAAUGAACCUUACAUUCCUAGUAUAAAUCUCAUAUGGUCAUCCUAAAUAAUCCUUGUAAUAAUUUGUUGUAGUCUCUUUGCUAGCAUUUUAUUUAAGAUUUUUGCAUCUAUGUUCAUUAGGGAGAUUCAUUUAUACCUUUCUUUCUCUGUUUUUCGUCUUCCUGGCUUGGAAAUCAGUACUAUAUUGGUGCCAUAAAAAGAAUUUGCUGCAUGGAACACUGAGAAGUUAAAUUUCUGACCUGACCCAGAGCCUCAAAGCCAAUAGGUGUCUGAAGCAGGAUUAUAAACCAUGUCUUCCUAA